rnacentral:rRNA from 1 species
AUGAACGCUGGCGGCGUGCUUAACACCUGCCAGUCGAACGAAGCACUUUAUUUGAUUUCCUUCGGGACUGAUUAUUUUGUGACUGAGUGGCGGACGGGUGAGUAACGCGUGGGUAACCUGCCUUGUACAGGGGGAUAACAGUUGGAAACGGCUGCUAAUACCGCAUAAGCGCACGGCAUCGCAUGAUGCAGUGUGAAAAACUCCGGUGGUAUAAGAUGGACCCGCGUUGGAUUAGCUAGUUGGUGAGGUAACGGCCCACCAAGGCGACGAUCCAUAGCCGACCUGAGAGGGUGACCGGCCACAUUGGGACUGAGACACGGCCCAAACUCCUACGGGAGGCAGCAGUGGGGAAUAUUGCACAAUGGGCGAAAGCCUGAUGCAGCGACGCCGCGUGAGCGAAGAAGUAUUUCGGUAUGUAAAGCUCUAUCAGCAGGGAAGAUAAUGACGGUACCUGACUAAGAAGCACCGGCUAAAUACGUG